rnacentral:rRNA from 1 species
UACACACCGCCGUCACACCAUGGAGUGGGUUGCACCAGAAGUAGCUAGUCUAACCUUCGGGAGGACGGUUACCACGGUGUGAUUCAUGACUGGGGUG